rnacentral:rRNA from 1 species
CAGUCGCCGCGGUAAUACGUAGGUGGCAAGCGUUGUCCGGAAUUAUUGGGCGUAAAGGGCUCGCAGGCGGUUUCUUAAGUCUGAUGUGAAAGCCCCCGGCUCAACCGGGGAGGGUCAUUGGAAACUGGGAAACUUGAGUGCAGAAGAGGAGAGUGGAAUUCCACGUGUAGCGGUGGAAUGCGUAGAGAUGUGGAGGAACACCAGUGGCGAAGGCGACUCUCUGGGCCGACGUUGACACUGAGAGACAAACGCUAGGGGAGAAAAUGGGAUUAGAUACCCCGGUAGUCCCUGUCUCUUAUAC